UCCUACGGGAGGCAGCAGUCGGGAAUUUUGCUCAAUGGGCGAAAGCCUGAAGCAGCAACGCCGCGUGAGGGAUGAAGGCCUUCGGGUUGUAAACCUCUUUUUCCAGGGACGAUAAUGACGGUACCUGAAGAAUAAGUCACGGCUAACUACGUGCCAGCAGCCGCGGUAAUACGUAGGUGACUAGCGUUGUCCGGAUUUACUGGGCGUAAAGAGCGCGC
rnacentral:rRNA from 1 species